rnacentral:rRNA from 1 species
UACGGAGGGUGCAAGCGUUAUCCGGAUUCACUGGGUUUAAAGGGUGCGUAGGUGGGCAGGUAAGUCAGUGGUGAAAUACCUGAGCUUAACUUGGGAACUGCCAUUGAUACUAUUUGUCUUGAAUGUCGUGGAGGUUAGCGGAAUAUGUCAUGUAGCGGUGAAAUGCUUAGAUAUGACAUAGAACACCUAUUGCGAAGGCAGCUAACUACGCGAAUAUUGACGCUGAGGCACGAAAGCGUGGGGAUCAAACAGG